AACCAUAGAAACCUGCGGAGUACCUGCGGAAGGAUCAUUAACGAAUGGUCUUUGUACCUUCAAAACCCCUCAAACCAGUGGACAUGAAAAUGUGCUUCGGCGCUCUGGCGCCGCUUUUAUGCUGUAAUUCUGUCAUUUGUGUCUGAAUGCAAAGCAAAGAAUCAAAACUUUUAGCAACGGAUCU
rnacentral:misc_RNA from 1 species